rnacentral:tRNA from 1 species
GGGCCCGUGGUCUAGUCAGGAUAGGACGUUGGCCUGCGGAGCCGAAGAUCCGGGGUUCGAAUCCCCGCGGGCCCGCCA